rnacentral:rRNA from 2 species
UCUGGUAAUGAUGGCAGAGAGGCCACACCCGUUCCCAUACCGAACACGGAAGUUAAGCUCUCUAGCGCCGAUGGUAGUUGGGA